rnacentral:rRNA from 1 species
UACAGAGGGUGCGAGCGUUAAUCGGAUUUACUGGGCGUAAAGCGUGCGUAGGCGGCUUUUUAAGUCGGAUGUGAAAUCCCCGAGCUUAACUUGGGAAUUGCAUUCGAUACUGGGAAGCUAGAGUAUGGGAGAGGAUGGUAGAAUUCCAGGUGUAGCGGUGAAAUGCGUAGAGAUCUGGAGGAAUACCGAUGGCGAAGGCAGCCAUCUGGCCUAAUACUGACGCUGAGGUACGAAAGCAUGGGGAGCAAACAGGAUUAGAAA